UCCAUUGCGAGAUGGAAUCUGAAGGAAGGUGAAGGCAAAGCGCUGGCCUGACGUACAGAAAUCACAUACGAGGCACAGAGAGAGGAUGAGAAGGCAUAAAUCUUCAAAAUCCGAUACUUAUCCGGAAUCUCUUUGUGUAUAUGUGGCGGGCAUAAGCGUGAAAGUGGUGCGC
rfam:Treponema sp. GWC1_61_84 gwc1_scaffold_86, whole genome shotgun sequence.